rnacentral:tRNA from 1 species
GGAUCCGUGGUGUAGUGGUUAUCACACUUGCUUUACACAGUAGUCCGUCCAUUCGGGCUGUGAAAUCGCAAUAGGUCCCCGGUUCGAACCCGGGCGGAUUCA